AUGGCCUCGGCAGAGGGAAGCGAGGUGUCCGAGCUCAUCGCCGGGAACAGGAAGGACGCCGCCGUCAAGGGGAACUCGUCCUCGGGGAUGGCGUGCGAGCUCCUUCAGAGGGCCGACACGAAGCCCCUUGACGAGCGCCGCUGCGUCAAGCACGCGCUCGAGCUCAGGGAGGCCGCCACCACUGCGGGUUUCCUUCCCUUCAUGUGCCAGGGACCUGAGAUGCCCUUGGUUCAUACCCUGGACAUGAACGUGUUUACCAAGUUGAAGGAGAAGGAUGCCACCGCCACCAAAGGCUACCCUGCUGCUGUGGUCCAGGGACCGGAGGUGCCCCUGGUCCAUACCCUGGAGCUGAAGCAGGCUAACUACCUUGCCGCCAUGCGUCAGGGACUGCAGGUGCACCGUACCCUGGAGCUUAACACACUGAAGCCCGCUGAGUACCUUUCCUUCAUGCGCCAGGGACCAGAGCCACUGACGCUCAUCCCUUGUGCCCUUGUACGCACGAUCCCUCGCUGUCUUCCCCAGUCAAUCCCUAAGCAUGUGCCUGCGCCGGGAAACCUGGGCAUUAAGGAUGUGGAGAAGACUGCGCUUGAGAUUCAAGACAAACUCAAGCGGAAAGGACCCGGGUACUCUUUGCGCUCCAUCAGGGCAACGGUUGAAAUCUUCAAGGAGAACCAAGAGACAGUUGUUGUUCGCAGUCAAUCUUUGGCUGAGAAGUUCAAGGCAUGGGCAGAUGACACCUCCAGGGGGUUUACCUUCUAUUCGAUCGGGGAAAAGUCAUAUUAG
rnacentral:rRNA from 1 species